rnacentral:tRNA from 1 species
CAAUAGUAUAUAUUUUUAACACGCCGGCCUUGUAAACCGGAAAAGGGUACGCCCUAACCCUUGCAAU